rnacentral:rRNA from 1 species
CCUAGGGGGUGCAGCAGUGAGGAAUAUUGGUCAAUGGCCGGAAGGCUGAACCAGCCAUGCCGCGUGAAGGAAGAAGGCUUUCGGGUUGUAAACUUCUUUGACAGGGGAAGAGCAGAAGACGAUACCCUGAAAACAAGCCACGGCUAACUACGUGCCAGCAGCCGCGGUAAUACGUAGGUGGCAAGCGUUAUCCGGAUUUAUUGGGUGUAAAGGGCGUGUAGGCGGGAAUGCAAGUCAGAUGUGAAAACUAUGGGCUCAACCCAUAGCCUGCAUUUGAAACUGUAUUUCUUGAGUGCUGGAGAGGCAAUCGGAAUUCCGUGUGUAGCGGUGAAAUGCGUAGAUAUACGGAGGAACACCAGUGGCGAAGGCGGAUUGCUGGACAGUAACUGACGCUGAGGCGCGAAAGCGUGGGGAGCAAACAGGAUUAGAUACCCGAGUAGUC